AGACCAAGGGGAGAUGCACGAAG
rnacentral:piRNA from 1 species